rnacentral:lncRNA from 1 species
CGGACCUUUGCUGACCUCGCCCUUCUUGAGGUCGACCACGAAGAUCUCCUCGUCAACGCCGAGCUUCUGCAACGCACAGCACCGCCACAUGAAUUCAGGAAUCAGGAAGCCCGUCGAUCUGGCCCGGGUUUCACGCAAUCUUGGCAAGUAAAGGAGGAGAGAUUCACGGGAGAUUUGAGAGGGGGAGGAGGGGAGUCUGACCUUGGGGGCGAUGUUGAGCUGGUAGACGAGGCCGACCUUCUUGGUGAGCUCCUUGCCGGCGUCGGUGGCCAUGUGCAGGCGCAUCUGCUCCAGGAGCUGCGCGGACUUGAGGCUGCUGCCGUCCAUCUCAGCGGGCGAGCUACGAGUAGCAGCGCAGAGUCGAACUGGGAGAGAGAGAUUGCAGGAGGGAGAUGCGAGAGGAGGGGAGC